CUUUCCCUCUUUCUUCCGGCCUCCCCCCUGCACGUCGAGCGGAUGAAGGGAGCUUGCUCCUGGAUUCAGCGGCGGACGGGUGAGUAAUGCCUAGGAAUCUGCCUGGUAGUGGGGGAUAACGUCCGGAAACGGGCGCUAAUACCGCAUACGUCCUGAGGGAGAAAGUGGGGGAUCUUCGGACCUCACGCUAUCAGAUGAGCCUAGGUCGGAUUAGCUAGUUGGUGGGGUAAAGGCCUACCAAGGCGACGAUCCGUAACUGGUCUGAGAGGAUGAUCAGUCACACUGGAACUGAGACACGGUCCAGACUCCUACGGGAGGCAGCAGUGGGGAAUAUUGGACAAUGGGCGAAAGCCUGAUCCAGCCAUGCCGCGUGUGUGAAGAAGGUCUUCGGAUUGUAAAGCACUUUAAGUUGGGAGGAAGGGCAGUAAGUUAAUACCUCGCUGUUUUGACGUUACCAACAGAAUAAGCACCGGCUAACUUCGUG
rnacentral:rRNA from 1 species